rnacentral:lncRNA from 1 species
AUGCCAGCUCUAAGGACACUCUGUUCAUUGUCCCUCACUGCGCUGCGGAUAUUUAUGGUUGUCUUUCAGCAGCUAAACGUGCAGCCCAGGGAGGUGGUCCACAGAGAGAAGUCCUUCAUUUUUUUGAAAUACAGUAUUGACCAAAAAUCCUCCUUUUAUCGCAGGAACAGCAGCUUUGGAGGAAUGAACCUGAUGGAGAAGCGUGUGCUUGGAUUUGAGCUCCCUCACAGUUGCAGACUUUUGGCUUUGAGUCCCCUAAAUCUUUGCUGCUUUAAUCAGUGCACAGACUUGGGCAAAUAG